rnacentral:rRNA from 1 species
CUAUGUGUUGUUGGGUAGGGGAGCGUUCUGUAAGCCUGUGAAGGUGGCCUGUGAGGGUUGCUGGAGGUAUCAGAAGUGCGAAUGCUGACAUAAGUAACGAUAAAGCGGGUGAAAAGCCCGCUCGCCGGAAGACCAAGGGUUCCUGUCCAACGUUAAUCGGGGCAGGGUGAGUCGACCCCUAAGGCGAGGCCGAAAGGCGUAGUCGAUGGGAAACAGGUUAAUAUUCCUGUACUUGGUGUUACUGCGAAGGGGGGACGGAGAAGGCUAUGUUGGCCGGGCGACGGUUGUCCCGGUUUAAGCGUGUAGGCUGGUUUUCCAGGCAAAUCCGGAAAACCAAGGCUGAGGCGUGAUGACGAGGCACUACGGUGCUGAAGCGACAAAUGCCCUGCUUCCAGGAAAAGCCUCUAAGCAUCAGGUAACAUCAAAUCGUACCCCAAACCGACACAGGUGGUCAGGUAGAGAAUACCAAGGCGCUUGAGAGAACUCGGGUGAAGGAACUAGGCAAAAUGGUGCCGUAACUUCGGGAGAAGGCACGCUGAUAUGUAGGUGAAGCGACUUGCUCGUGGAGCUGAAAUCAGUCGAAGAUACCAGCUGGCUGCAACUGUUUAUUAAAAACACAGCACUGUGCAAACACGAAAGUGGACGUAUACGGUGUGACGCCUGCCCGGUGCCGGAAGGUUAAUUGAUGGGGUUAGCGGCAACGCGAAGCUCUUGAUCGAAGCCCCGGUAAACGGCGGCCGUAACUAUAACGGUCCUAAGGUAGCGAAAUUCCUUGUCGGGUAAGUUCCGACCUGCACGAAUGGCGUAAUGAUGGCCAGGCUGUCUCCACCCGAGACUCAGUGAAAUUGAACUCGCUGUGAAGAUGCAGUGUACCCGCGGCAAGACGGAAAGACCCCGUGAACCUUUACUAUAGCUUGACACUGAACAUUGAGCCUUGAUGUGUAGGAUAGGUGGGAGGCUUUGAAGUGUGGACGCCAGUCUGCAUGGAGCCGACCUUGAAAUACCACCCUUUAAUGUUUGAUGUUCUAACGUUGGCCCGUAAUCCGGGUUGCGGACAGUGUCUGGUGGGUAGUUUGACUGGGGCGGUCUCCUCCUAAAGAGUAACGGAGGAGCACGAAGGUUGGCUAAUCCUGGUCGGACAUCAGGAGGUUAGUGCAAUGGCAUAAGCCAGCUUGACUGCGAGCGUGACGGCGCGAGCAGGUGCGAAAGCAGGUCAUAGUGAUCCGGUGGUUCUGAAUGGAAGGGCCAUCGCUCAACGGAUAAAAGGUACUCCGGGGAUAACAGGCUGAUACCGCCCAAGAGUUCAUAUCGACGGCGGUGUUUGGCACCUCGAUGUCGGCUCAUCACAUCCUGGGGCUGAAGUAGGUCCCAAGGGUAUGGCUGUUCGCCAUUUAAAGUGGUACGCGAGCUGGGUUUAGAACGUCGUGAGACAGUUCGGUCCCUAUCUGCCGUGGGCGCUGGAGAACUGAGGGGGGCUGCUCCUAGUACGAGAGGACCGGAGU